AUUAUGAUAAAAAUAUUCAAUUUACUAUUUCUUAAGGUGUUGAAUGGAUUUUGUUUUCUCAACAGCGGCUGGUGCACGUACCAUACUUUUACUCGUAAACUCAAUUUGGCGGUGAAGAAGCAGCAUUUUCUGUUGCUCACCGUCGCAAUAGCUGAGCAUUGCUCUACGAGCAAUGUGCCCGGCUAAAAAUCAUAAUAUUUGUAAUGAUAUAUCAUAUUCUAGACUUGACAUACAAUAAACAAUGAUAAGAAUUAUUGUCGCAUAUCUGCAGUGAUUUUCUUUGAUCUUUCUGUGGUGAUAAUUUAUCCCAUAUCACAUGUGUGAUAAUACUUUCCAAACAUGUUUCAAAGUUUUUACACUCUUUAUCAUACAGUUUUAAAGAACAGUUUUAUGAGCUCAUAAGUAUAUUAAAUGGUUAAUUUAUCAAAACCUGCAUUUAAAAAUUCAGAAGUCUUAAGUUAAACCAAAUUGUCCAGGGUAUUCUUAGUAAGGUAUGUCAAAGGUCAUGGUUAAGUGACUUUGUAAGGCUGGUAUUUUUUCUUUAGUUUUAUGGCAAUCAGUGCACAUGGUAAAUAGCAUAAAAUUACCCUUAAAGGUCUUAUGCAAGGAGAUAGCUAAUUAAAAUGAACAAAUGUAGUUCUAUGUAUGAUGUAUAUAGAGACAAUAAUAUUUCUUUUCUUUUUUCAUUUUCAGGAACUUUACGUAGGUCUACAGUUUUAAUUUUGGACUCAUGCACUAGGAAUAUCAUAUCAGCAGAACUGUGCCACUGAAUCAAAGGGAACUCUUUUUUUUUAGGUACGCAUGAUCGAUGUAACUUCCUCGAUGGUGUGUUGGCUGUUUGCCCAUGUGUAUUUCGGGGUAUAGGAGUAGCCUCCCCUUUUAAAGAUCCAAAAUGGUGAUUUUACAGUGCGGCAUGCAGUCUGGUCAUCAACGAAGAGUUUUGACACCUGUAAUACCCAUAUUUCUACCAUUCACCUCUGUAACCUUUGUUGAGUUCAUCAGACUGUCCAAGACAGGAAGUUGAGGAAUAAAGUUGACAGGACAUCCUGAACUGUCCUCGCUACCAGCUUAUCAGGGAACCAGCUGCAGUGGACAAAGUACGUUACAUCAUAGGAUAAUAGCAUUGAAUUGGAUUCUUGAACCAGAGCCAUGUGAACCUGGUCCACCUGUACCUCUCAUUGAAGACCUGUUAACAUCACCAGAGUAUGUUCAUUCUGAUACCCCUAUGGUAUGGUUACAGCAUGCAUUAUCCCUGAAUCCAUUAAAAGAGCUGCAUUGGCAACGAAACAACCCAAUGUGGUCGAUUGUAAGGAAAUAUAGCAUAUCAGCUUCCAACUUUGGUGCAGUUCUCAGUUCUAAGCAAAGGCGAUUGACAUUGUCACUGAAGAAACAGCUGAUGUCGGCUUACAAUCUGGAGUCCAUCAAGGCUGUUGCAUGGGGUAUCACUCAUGAAGAUGAUGCUUUGAGAAAGUAUGAAAAAGGACUUUGAUGCAGCUGUAGAGCAGUCAGGAUAUGGUUGCAUGAAUCUGGAGUGUUGGGAGCUUCACCUGAUGGCUUAGUUGUUCGACCACCAACAUGCAGUGUAUUUUAUCAAAAUCCAGAAGCCAAAGACGCCAUUCCUGAUAUUGUAGAGGUGAAGUGUCCAUACACAGCAUCGUCUUCAACAGUAGCAGAUGGGGCACAAAAUUUGAAGGAUUUUUCAUAGAUCUUAAACAAGAUACCCUGUGCCUGAAAACCAGUCACCCAUACUAUCAUCAAAUUCAAGGCCAGCUACACAUAUGUAACAAAACAUUCUGCGACUUAAUUAUGUGGACAAGAGUAGACUGCAUUGUGAUUAGAAUAGUAAAAGACAUUGAAUGGACAGCAAAUGUUCCAAAGCUGAUAGAUUUCUACAUUAACAUUUUCAUUCCAGCACUGAUGGAAAACUGAGUUCUAGUUUGAACUUCUUGACACUUAGUUUUGUACCUCUAGAAUUUUCUAACAAUGGAAAAUGGGUAAUCAUGUUAAAUGUGUUGAAUGUUCCUAAGUCUCAUAAAUGUAUGAUAUGAUAUGUCAUAAUCCAUCAUAAAACUUCUGGCUUAUAAGACUAUUUUAAAUAGCAAUGAUGAUUAAUAAAAUCUAUGUACUACAUAAAAAAAGAA